rnacentral:rRNA from 1 species
GACGAACGCUGGCGGCGUGCUUAGCACAUGCCAGUCGAACGGAAAGGCCCUGCUUGCAGGGUACUCGAGUGGCGAACGGGUGAGUAACACGUGGGUGAUCUGCCCUGCACUUCGGGAUAAGCCUGGGAAACUGGGUCUAAUACCGGAUAGGAGCCAUUUUUAGUGUGAUGGUUGGAAAGUUUUUUCGGUGUAGGAUGAGCUCGCGGCCUAUCAGCUUGUUGGUGGGGUAAUGGCCUACCAAGGCGGCGACGGGUAGCCGGCCUGAGAGGGUGGACGGCCACAUUGGGACUGAGAUACGGCCCAGACUCCUACGGGAGGCAGCAGUGGGGAAUAUUGCACAAUGGGCGCAAGCCUGAUGCAGCGACGCCGCGUGGGGGAUGACGGCCUUCGGGUUGUAAACUCCUUUCGCUAGGGACGAAGCUUUUGUGACGGUACCUAGAUAAGAAGCACCGGCUAACUACGUG